rnacentral:rRNA from 1 species
GGCUCAGGAUGAACGCUGGCGGCGUGCUUAACACAUGCAAGUCGAACGGUGAAGCCCAGCUUGCUGGGUGGAUCAGUGGCGAACGGGUGAGUAACACGUGAGCAACCUGCCCUGGACUCUGGGAUAAGCGCUGGAAACGGCGUCUAAUACUGGAUAUGAGCCUCUAUCGCAUGGUGGGGGUUGGAAAGAUUUUUUGGUCUGGGAUGGGCUCGCGGCCUAUCAGCUUGUUGGUGAGGUAAUGGCUCACCAAGGCGUCGACGGGUAGCCGGCCUGAGAGGGUGACCGGCCACACUGGGACUGAGACACGGCCCAGACUCCUACGGGAGGCAGCAGUGGGGAAUAUUGCACAAUGGGCGGAAGCCUGAUGCAGCAACGCCGCGUGAGGGAUGACGGCCUUCGGGUUGUAAACCUCUUUUAGCAAGGAAGAAGCGAAAGUGACG